CAUUCUCUCAGCAACAAGUCAGAACUGAUCAAAACACAGCAUUUUCCGAUCAUCGAGUUAGCAAGAUGUUGAAUCUGUGGAUCCUGGUCUUACUCGGCUUUGCAGCAAGUGCCGUUCAAAGUUACACUUCAUGCGCAUCGACCAAGGCUAUAGAACAACCAAUUAAUUCAGCAUGUCAGACACAUCAAAAUGAUAUGAUACCACCUACAUUUCCGG